AAACCAGCACCUCAAGUGGUCAGGAUGAUUAUUGGGCCUAAAGCAUCCGUAGCCGGCUCUGUAAGUUUUCGGUUAAAUCUGUAUGCUUAACGUACAGGCCGCCGGGAAUACUGCAGAACUAGGGAGUGGGAGAGGUAGACGGUACUCGGGAGGAAGUGGUAAAAUGCUUUGAUCUCUCGAUGACCACCUGUGGCGAAGGCGGUCUACCAGAACACGUCCGACGGUGAGGGAUGAAAGCUGGGGGAGCAAACCGGAUUAGAAACCCCGGUAGUCC
rnacentral:rRNA from 1 species